AGGACGAACGCUGGCGGCGUGCUUAACACAUGCAAGUCGAGCGGUGAUCCUCCUUCGGGAGGUGAGCAGCGGCGAACGGGUGAGUAACACGUGGGCAACCUGCCCCUCACACUGGGAUAACCUCGGGAAACCGGGGCUAAUACCGGAUAUGACCUCGAGCGGCAUCUCUUGAGGUGGAAAGCUCCGACGGUGAGGGAUGGGCCCGCGGCCUAUCAGCUUGUUGGUGGGGUAAUGGCCUACCAAGGCGACGACGGGUAGCCGGCCUGAGAGGGCGACCGGGCCACGACUGGGACUGAGACACGGCCCAGACUCCUACGGGAGGCAGCAGUGGGGAAUAUUGCGCAAUGGGCGAAAGCCUGACGCAGCGACGCCGCGUGAGGGAUGAAGGCCUUCGGGUUGUAAACCUCUUUCAGCAGGGACGAAGCGAAAGUGACGGUACCUGCAGAAGAAGCACCGGCUAACUACGUGCCAGCAGCCGCGGU
rnacentral:rRNA from 1 species